AGCGAACGCUGGCGGCAGGCCUAAUACAUGCAAGUCGAACGGCUCUUCGGAGCAGUGGCGGACGGGUGAGUAACGCGUGGGAACGUGCCCUUUGGUUCGGAACAACACAGGGAAACUUGUGCUAAUACCGAAUGUGCCCUUCGGGGGAAAGAUUUAUCGCCAUUGGAGCGGCCCGCGUUGGAUUAGGUAGUUGGUGGGGUAAAGGCCUACCAAGCCUACGAUCCAUAGCUGGUCUGAGAGGAUGAUCAGCCACACUGGGACUGAGACACGGCCCCGACUCCUACGGGAGGCAGCAGUAGGGAAUCUUGCGCAAUGGGCGAAAGCCUGACGCAGCCAUGCCGCGUGAAUGAUGAAGGUCUUAGGAUUGUAAAAUUCUUUCACCGGGGAAGAUAAUGACGGUACCCGGAGAAGAAGCCCCGGCUAACUUCGUGCCAGCCGCCGCAGUAACAC
rnacentral:rRNA from 1 species